ACUCUAAGCGGUGGAUCACUCGGCUCAUGGGUCGAUGAAGAACGCAGCAAACUGUGCGUCAUCGUGUGAACUGCAGGACACAUGAACAUCGACAUUUUGAACGCAUAUCGCAGUCCAUGCUGUUAUGUACUUUAAUUAAUUUUAUAGUGCUGCUUGGACUACAUAUGGUUGAGGGUUGUAAGACUAUGCUAAUUAAGUUGCUUAUAAAUUUUUAUAAGCAUAUGGUAUAUUAUUGGAUAAAUAUAAUAAUUUUUAUUCAUAAUAUUAAAAAAUAAAUGAAAAACAUUAUCUCACAUUUGAAUGUGAAAAACGAAGAGAAAUAUUUUCUUUUUCAAUCAAAUAAUACUGAGAAAUGUCUAGCAUAAAAAAUUGAAAUAUUUUUCAUCUAGAAUUGUCUCUUAUUAAUGAUUCGGAAAUAGAAAAAUCUUGGUUAUGUUAUUAUUCUUCGUUGGUUCGUUAAAAAUGGAUAAAUAAAAACUUUGCAUACAAGAAUUAAUAAAAAUGUUAUAACGAAUUUAAUUAAAUGUUUUAUCAUUAUAUAUAAAGAAUUUAUGGCAAGAUAAAGUUAUAUACAACCUCAACUCAUAUGGGACUACCCCUGAAUUUAAGCAUAUUAAUUAGGGGAGGAAAAGAAACUAACAAGGAUUUUCUUAGUAGCGGCGAGCGAAAAGAAAACAGUUCAGCACUAAGUCACUUUGUCUAUAUGGCAAAUGUGAGAUGCAGUGUAUGGAGCGUCAAUAUUCUAGUAUGAGAAAUUAACGAUUUAAGUCCUUCUUAAAUGAGGCCAUUUACCCAUAGAGGGUGCCAGGCCCGUAUAACGUUAAUGAUUACUAGAUGAUGUUUCCAAAGAGUCGUGUUGCUUGAUAGUGCAGCACUAAGUGGGUGGUAAACUCCAUCUAAAACUAAAUAUAACCAUGAGACCGAUAGUAAACAAGUACCGUGAGGGAAAGUUGAAAAGAACUCUGAAUAGAGAGUUAAACAGUACGUGAAACUGCUUAGAGGUUAAGCCCGAUGAACCUGAAUAUCCGUUAUGGAAAAUUCAUCAUUAAAAUUGUAAUAUUUAAAUAAUAUUAUGAGAAUAGUGUGCAUUUUUUCCAUAUAAGGACAUUGUAAUCUAUUAGCAUAUACCAAAUUUAUCAUAAAAUAUAACUUAUAGUUUAUUCCAAUUAAAUUGCUUGCAUUUUAACACAGAAUAAAUGUUAUUAAUUUGAUAAAGUGCUGAUAGAUUUAUAUGAUUACAGUGCGUUAAUUUUUCGGAAUUAUAUAAUGGCAUAAUUAUCAUUGAUUUUUGUGUUUAUUAUAUGCACUUGUAUGAUUAACAAUGCGAAAGAUUCAGGAUACCUUCGGGACCCGUCUUGAAACACGGACCAAGGAGUCUAACAUAUGUGCAAGUUAUUGGGAUAUAAACCUAAUAGCGUAAUUAACUUGACUAAUAAUGGGAUUAGUUUUUUAGCUAUUUAUAGCUAAUUAACACAAUCCCGGGGCGUUCUAUAUAGUUAUGUAUAAUGUAUAUUUAUAUUAUUUAUGCCUCUAACUGGAACGUACCUUGAGCAUAUAUGCUGUGACCCGAAAGAUGGUGAACUAUACUUGAUCAGGUUGAAGUCAGGGGAAACCCUGAUGGAAGACCGAAACAGUUCUGACGUGCAAAUCGAUUGUCAGAAUUGAGUAUAGGGGCGAAAGACCAAUCGAACCAUCUAGUAGCUGGUUCCUUCCGAAGUUUCCCUCAGGAUAGCUGGUGCAUUUUAAUAUUAUAUAAAAUAAUCUUAUCUGGUAAAGCGAAUGAUUAGAGGCCUUAGGGUCGAAACGAUCUUAACCUAUUCUCAAACUUUAAAUGGGUAAGAACCUUAACUUUCUUGAUAUGAAGUUCAAGGUUAUGAUAUAAUGUGCCCAGUGGGCCACUUUUGGUAAGCAGAACUGGCGCUGUGGGAUGAACCAAACGUAAUGUUACGGUGCCCAAAUUAACAACUCAUGCAGAUACCAUGAAAGGCGUUGGUUGCUUAAAACAGCAGGACGGUGAUCAUGGAAGUCGAAAUCCGCUAAGGAGUGUGUAACAACUCACCUGCCGAAGCAACUAGCCCUUAAAAUGGAUGGCGCUUAAGUUGUAUACCUAUACAUUACCGCUAAAGUAGAUGAUUUAUAUUACUUGUGAUAUAAAUUUUGAAACUUUAGUGAGUAGGAAGGUACAAUGGUAUGCGUAGAAGUGUUUGGCGUAAGCCUGCAUGGAGCUGCCAUUGGUACAGAUCUUGGUGGUAGUAGCAAAUAAUCGAAUGAGACCUUGGAGGACUGAAGUGGAGAAGGGUUUCGUGUGAACAGUGGUUGAUCACGAGUUAGUCGGUCCUAAGUUCAAGGCGAAAGCCGAAAAUUUUCAAGUAAAACAAAAAUGCCUAACUAUAUAAACAAAGCGAAUUAUAAUACACUUGAAUAAUUUUGAACGAAAGGGAAUACGGUUCCAAUUCCGUAACCUGUUGAGUAUCCGUUUGUUAUUAAAUAUGGGCCUCGUGCUCAUCCUGGCAACAGGAACGACCAUAAAGAAGCCGUCGAGAGAUAUCGGAAGAGUUUUCUUUUCUGUUUUAUAGCCGUACUACCAUGGAAGUCUUUCGCAGAGAGAUAUGGUAGAUGGGCUAGAAGAGCAUGACAUAUACUGUUGUGUCGAUAUUUUCUCCUCGGACCUUGAAAAUUUAUGGUGGGGACACGCAAACUUCUCAACAGGCCGUACCAAUAUCCGCAGCUGGUCUCCAAGGUGAAGAGUCUCUAGUCGAUAGAAUAAUGUAGGUAAGGGAAGUCGGCAAAUUAGAUCCGUAACUUCGGGAUAAGGAUUGGCUCUGAAGAUUGAGAUAGUCGGGCUUGAUUGGGAAACAAUAACAUGGUUUAUGUGCUCGUUCUGGGUAAAUAGAGUUUCUAGCAUUU
rnacentral:rRNA from 1 species